rnacentral:rRNA from 1 species
ACGCUGGCGGCGUGCUUAACACAUGCAAGUCGAACGGUAAGGCCCUUCGGGGUACACGAGUGGCGAACGGGUGAGUAACACGUGGGUGAUCUGCCCUGCACUUCGGGAUAAGCCUGGGAAACUGGGUCUAAUACCGGAUAGGACCAUGGACUUCACGGUUUGUGGUGGAAAGCUUUUGCGGUGUGGGAUGGGCCCGCGGCCUAUCAGCUUGUUGGUGGGGUAAUGGCCUACCAAGGCGACGACGGGUAGCCGGCCUGAGAGGGUGGCCGGCCACACUGGGACUGAGAUACGGCUCAGACUCCUACGGGAGGCAGCAGUGGGGAAUAUUGCACAAUGGGCGCAAGCCUGAUGCAGCGACGCCGCGUGAGGGAUGACGGCCUUCGGGUUGUAAACCUCUUUCAAUAGGGACGAAGCGCAAGUGACGGUACCUAUAGAAGAAGCACCGGCCAACUACGUG